UUCGGGGUUCACAUACUCCAAUUAAGGUUGAAGAAGACAUAGAUGACCUUGAAAAUCUAGAAAAAGAGUUGUCAAAGGUUGCAUUGGAGUCCACAAUUGGUGAAUAAGACAAACAAAGAAAGACAAAGGACUUACAGGUGAAAUAAGCAGAGAAAUUGUGCUUUGUAUUUUGCAAUGUAAGAAGCUGAAAAGUGGGAGUUUCUAAUACAAGAAGCCAUGAAAUUGUAGCUGUCACUUGUCAGCUGAUGUAUGAAGCAUUGAAGUCCUAGUUUUUUAUUUUAAUUUUUUAGAAACAAUUUAUAUUUUAUGUUUGUUUUUUAUUUUUAUU